rnacentral:sRNA from 1 species
UAUUCUGCCCCAUGGGGAAGGAUGAGAAGCUUCGACUAAGGUUCGACUCGAGCGCCAGCGAGAGAACGUUGCCACAGGCAACGGCCCGAAGGGCGUGGCGCUUUAGCGCCGAGUAAUCCUUCCCCCACCACCC